GUCUAUGGCCAUGCCACCCUGAACAAGCCCGAUCCUGUCUGAUCUCAGAAGCUAAGCAGGGUUGGGCCUGGUUAGUAGUUGGAUGGGAGACCCCCUAGGAAGACCAGGUGCUAUAGGCG
rnacentral:rRNA from 1 species